rnacentral:rRNA from 1 species
UACGGAGGGGGCUAGCGUUGUUCGGAAUUACUGGGCGUAAAGCGCACGUAGGCGGGCUGCUAAGUCGGGGGUGAAAUCCUGAGGCUCAACCUCAGAAUUGCCUUCGAUACUGGCGGUCUUGAGUGCGGGAGAGGUGAGUGGAAUUCCCAGUGUAGAGGUGAAAUUCGUAGAUAUUGGGAAGAACACCAGUGGCGAAGGCGGCUCACGUGGCCCGCAACUGACGCUGAGGUGCGAAAGCGUGGGGAGCAAACAGGG